UAGAAUCCACGUUCAAGACACGUGAAGGUGAAAAGGCAGUCCUUCGUUUCUUGAGGGACAUGCUUGACGGUGCAACUUAUCCUCCGUUUCUGCAAGACACAAAACGGCGACCCUAGUGCAUUACAAACCCUAGGAUGCACUACUUUACGAUGCAGAUGUUACGAGGACGUAAAUGACGAAAGGCUCCAGAGAACGCGAAGCUGCCUGCCGCGGAAGCCAAGGAGACGGGUCCUUACGCGUGUGAUCUGCGUAAGGAUAUCCUGACCAGUCCUGAGCAGGUACUGGAGGUUCUGGCGACUGGCGAGGCCAACCGCCAUACGGGGUGCACAAAGAUGAACGAGAAAAGCAGUCCUUCACAUACAAUCUUCCGUAUUUGUCAGCCUGGCCAUGCUACCCGACCGUGUGCAUUUCUCGACUUUACUUGCGUGUAAAUGCCUUGUGCAGGUAGCCAUAUUCCUCGAAGAAGAUAUAGGUCGCAUUGCAAACGAGUACGGCACGGAGGUCAGAGCUGUGACUAUGCCCAAAGGCUCAAGCAGCCGUGGCCAUGCAGACGCUGCCGACUAGCUUAGCUUCAUUCCUCAGCCUUCGCGAAAUGGGACAACCAUACUUGUCUAUGCGUCCGUAAUAGCGCAUCCCAAUCUACACACUUCUUACCGCGCCAGGCGUCGAAUGCAGGACGGUUUACCUACAUCCCAAUGGUAACGCGUGCGAACAUUGAACGAGAGGCAGUCAAGUUCGUAUCAAAGGUGCAUGUCCCCAAGAGCCAAGGGUGGGCGACGUCAGCCCCUUAUGGCAUAUGGCCUAAUGCGAAAGCUGCACUGUUGCAUACUGCGCCUGUUGCAAAAUCUGGACGAGGCACCACCUGUGUGAGCGUUUUGCCCUUUUUGUCACGAACACUUCGACGUUGUACGGCUCAGAGGCUAAUGGGCGUUCAUGCACGCAGUCCUGGGGGCCCUGACUCGAAGUCAGCCCCACCCUGGAGUUAG
rnacentral:lncRNA from 1 species